rnacentral:rRNA from 1 species
CCUAUGGGGUGCAGCAGGCGCGAAACCUUUGCAAUGUGCGAAAGCACGACAAGGUUAAUCCGAGUGUCUCCCGCUAAGGGAGUCUUUUGUCAGUUCUAGAACCACUGGUGAAUAAGGGGUGGGCAAGUUCUGGUGUCAGCCGCCGCGGUAAAACCAGCACCUCGAGUGGUCAGGAGGUUUAUUGGGCCUAAAGCAUCCGUAGCCGGUUGCAUAAGUUUUCGGUUAAAUCUAUGCGCUUAACGUAUAGGCCGCCGAAAAUACUGUGCAGCUAGGGAGUGGGAGAGGUACACGGUACUCGAUAGGAAGGGGUAAAAUCCUUUGAUCUAUUGAUGACCACCUGUGGCGAAGGCGGUGUACCAGAACACGUUCGACGGUGAGGGAUGAAAGCUGGGGGAGCAAACCGGAUUAGAUACCCACGUAGUCC